rnacentral:rRNA from 1 species
GACGAACGCUGGCGGCGUGCCUAAUACAUGCAAGUCGAACGAAGAGGGGACGGGUGAGUAACACGUGGAUACCCUCCAAUAAGACUGGGAUAACUUCGGGAAACCGGAGCUAAACCGGAUAUUUAUAGAUGGUUCCGGGCUGCAUUAGCUAUUUGGUAAGGUAACGGGUUACCAAGGCAACGAUGCAUAGCCGACCGGAGAGGGGGACCGGCCACACUGGAGCUGAGACACGGUCCAGACUCCUCCGGAGGGCAGCAGUAGGGAAUCUUCCGCAAUGGGCGAAAGCCUAACGGAGAAACGCAGCGUGAGUGAUGAAGUUUUUCGGAUCUUAAAACGCUGUUAUUAGGAAAGCGGUACCUAAUCAGAAAGCCACGGCUAACUACGUGCCAGCAGCCGCGGUAAUAC